rnacentral:rRNA from 1 species
AAGGGUCCGUAGGCGGUUUGGUAAGUCAGUGGUGAAAGCCCAUCGCUUAACGAUGGAACGGCCAUUGAUACUGCCAGACUUGAAUUACUAGGAAGUAACUAGAAUAUGUAGUGUAGCGGUGAAAUGCUUAGAUAUUACAUGGAAUACCAAUUGCGAAGGCAGGUUACUACUAGUGGAUUGACGCUGAUGGACGAAAGCGUGGGGAGCGAACAGGAUUAGAUACCCCUAGU